rnacentral:ncRNA from 1 species
AUACUUGAUAGAGGCGCAAACUGCAUGAGUAUGAAAGAGUAGGACUGCCGAAUUUCCGAAGAGGCUUUCAAAAAGGGUCGUUUGCCGAAGAAAAUUGUUUGCGGCAAAACAAGCUUUCUGGUUGUGUCGUUUGCGAAAGCAACUCAACUGUCAUCAUUACGAUGGAGUGCUAUCGGAUUC